rnacentral:lncRNA from 1 species
UCUUCCUUUCUAUCAUAGCCUGAUGUAGUUUUUCAGGUUCCUUUGGGUCCCCUUGGCUGAGAGUGGAGUCCAUUCGGUCAGCUGGGGGAAUUUAGACUUUUACUUUUGGUUUACAGGUGAAUAACAACAUCAAGAAGAAAAUGGAAGCUAUCAGAAAAGCCUCUACCAUCCCCACCACAUCUACCUGUCUACCUGUGUGUGUUCCUAAACUCCAGCUUCUCUCAUGAAAGAACUCUCCAUGCAUCUGGCUUAAGGUCAUCCCAUCCCUGAUCUCCACUUAAGAAUUAAGCUGGAGGACUUUAUCCUUAGCAAACCAAUGCAGGAACAGAAAACCAAAUGCUGCGUGUUCUCACAAAUGAAUUGGAUCUAAUGAUGAGAACACAUGGAC